rnacentral:rRNA from 1 species
CAGCAGCCGCGGUAAUACGGAGGGAGCUAGCGUUGUUCGGAAUUACUGGGCGUAAAGCGCACGUAGGCGGCUUUGUAAGUCAGAGGUGAAAGCCUGGAGCUCAACUCCAGAACUGCCUUUGAGACUGCAUCGCUUGAAUCCAGGAGAGGUAAGUGGAAUUCCGAGUGUAGAGGUGAAAUUCGUAGAUAUUCGGAAGAACACCAGUGGCGAAGGCGGCUUACUGGCUCAUUCUAGACGCUGAGGAGCGAAAGCGUGGGGAGCAAACAGGAUUAGAUACCCCCGUAGUCCCUGUCUCUUAUAC